AACAUCUUUCAAGUCUGUUGUUUGAAUACAAAAGAGAUUGACACAGCCAACAUUGUUCUGAGGUGCUUCUCUCUGUACAAGACCAGUUUGGUGUGGUGCCAACAAGCACAAUCUCUCUGUCGGUAUGACAGGCCUUAAGUGGAGAUCAGUGAAGCGGCACGGGGGAAAUAAACAGGCCCAGCUCAGCAGGCCUAAUUAAACAGAGGGCCUCAGCACCGCAACAAAACUCUACUGCAGUCCCAACCUGUCUCUCUUACCUUGCUUCCUGCUCGCCUUCCUGCUCGCCUCCCGGUCUGCCUGCUUGACUGGCUGCCUGUUUCAUCACCUCCCUGCCUGCCUCCGUAUCUGACUGUAUCUC